UUUUAAGGAACUUCUACUAAUACCGCCCACGCCCUGUGGACAACGCAGAAGCCACACCACAUCCUGGG
rnacentral:sRNA from 1 species